rnacentral:rRNA from 1 species
CCUACGGGGGGCUGCAGUGGGGAAUAUUGGACAAUGGGGGGAACCCUGAUCCAGCCAUGCGGCGUGUGUGAAGAAGGCCCUCGGGUUGUAAAGCACUUUCAGUGAGGAAGAACGCCUGGUGGUUAAUACCCAUCAGGAAAGACAUCACUCACAGAAGAAGCACCGGCUAACUCCGUGCCAGCAGCCGCGGUAAUACGGAGGGUGCGAGCGUUAAUCGGAAUUACUGGGCGUAAAGCGCGCGUAGGUGGCUUGAUAAGCCGGUUGUGAAAGCCCCGGGCUCAACCUGGGAACGGCAUCCGGAACUGUCAAGCUAGAGUGCAGGAGAGGAAGGUAGAAUUCCCGGUGUAGCGGUGAAAUGCGUAGAGAUCGGGAGGAAUACCAGUGGCGAAGGCGGCCUUCUGGACUGACACUGACACUGAGGUGCGAAAGCGUGGGUAGCAAACAGGAUUAGAUACCCCAGUAGUC